UAGCGGCAGGCUUAACACAUGCAAGUCGAGGGGUAACAGGGUGCUUGCACCGCUGACGACCGGCGAACGGGUGCGUAACGCGUAUGCAAUCUGCCUUGUACAGGAGGAUAGCCUUUAGAAAUGAAGAUUAAUACUCCAUAAUGUUGGGAAGUGGCAUCACUAUCUAACUAAAGAUUUAUCGGUACAAGAUGAGCAUGCGUCCUAUUAGCUAGAUGGUAAGGUAACGGCUUACCAUGGCAACGAUAGGUAGGGGGUCUGAGAGGAUUAUCCCCCACACUGGUACUGAGACACGGACCAGACUCCUACGGGAGGCAGCAGUGAGGAAUAUUGGUCAAUGGAGGCAACUCUGAACCAGCCAUGCCGCGUGCAGGAAGACUGCCCUAUGGGUUGUAAACUGCUUUUAUACAGGAAGAAACAGUCGUACGUGUACGGCCUUGACGGUACUGUAAGAAUAAGCACCGGCUAACUCCGUGCCAGCAGCCGCGGUAAU
rnacentral:rRNA from 1 species